UGUCAGCCUCAAUGGAGGACAAACAACAACAACCAUAUCUGAAGAUACCACAGACGAAAAGCAGCUUACAUUGAUCAUAGUAACAGGGGUUACAGCAGGCCAGACCGUAUCGUGUGACUUAAAUCCUUCUCAAACGGAAUUCUGGGUAAAAUUGGAUCCCGCCUCUGGACAGUAUGGAGUUUACUUGACAGCAAUGCCGAACCUCGAUUUCGACACAACAUCAAUGUAUAGUCUCGUUGUGGAAUGUACAGACGGAGUCAGCACAACACAAGAAACCUUCACAGUAAACAUUGAUAAAAACAAGUAUCCAACCAUAUCAAACCUAUAUAACUACACCACUUUGUCCACUGCAAAUACGCCGACUGGUACCGUGGUGUUCUCAGUGUUAGCCUUGGAUCCAGAAAAUGAUCAACUAACAUUUGGAAUGGUCUGUUAUGUGCUAAGCUCUUCAGCUACAUGUCCAUUUGAAAUUUUUGACUGUAAG